CUCUCGGAUCAUGGAGUCCCCAUCUGUGGGUUCACCAUGGCCCCUCCCCAGGGUCCUGAACGGGGUGACCCCAACCCCCAUGGAGGAUUUUGGGGGGUUUGAUUCCAAUUCUUAAAUCUGGGGAAAAUUCAAGGUAAAUUCUUAUCCCGAGGGGAAUUGUUCACUUGGGGGGGGGUCCCUUGGGUGGGAUUUGCACCCCCAAUUGGGGUGACCCCCACUUUUGGGUGAAUUUGGGGGUUUUGAGGUAAAUUUGGGGGGGUUUUGGGGUGGGCUUGGGCCCCCCAGGGGUGAUGACCUCAAUGAAUCUCGUUCGGCUGAAGCUGCUGCUGACAACCCAAGGACUGACCCAGGGGGGCUUCCCCCCCUUUUUGGGGUCCUCAAAUUCCUCAGAGACCCCCCUGACCCUCCCCUUGUGUCCCCUCAUUCCAGGUGAUUCCAUCCAGGAACACACCUUAAGGCCAGGUGCUGCAGGUGAACAGAGGCUCAGGUGAGUCUGGGGGUUUUGGGGAGGGGAGUUUAAAGGUUUAGAAAAGGAAUUUGCAGUUUAGGGAGAGGGUUUGUAAAGUUUGGGGAUUUGAGUUUUGGGGUGCGGGGAGGGGAUUUUGGGUUUUUUGGAAAGGAGGUUUUGGGUUUUGAGAAAAGAUUUUGGGUUUUGGGAGUUUUAGAGUUUAGGAAAGAGAAUUUUGGGGUUUGGGGGGAUUAUUUUGAGGGUUUUCAGAGGGGAUUUUGGGGUAAAGGUGGGAAAUUU
rnacentral:lncRNA from 1 species